UGAAACAGAAAGAGUUGUGGUGGACAG
rnacentral:piRNA from 1 species